rnacentral:pre_miRNA from 1 species
GUGUAUUCGUACCCUUAUCAUUCUUUCGCCCCGUGUGAUUUCCAAUACUACUGGACGGAGAACUGAUAAGGGCCCGUGUCACC